GAUGAACGCUGGCGGCGUGCCUAAUACAUGCAAGUCGAGCGAACAGACGAGGAGCUUGCUCCUCUGACGUUAGCGGCGGACGGGUGAGUAACACGUGGAUAACCUACCUAUAAGACUGGGAUAACUUCGGGAAACCGGAGCUAAUACCGGAUAAUAUAUUGAACCGCAUGGUUCAAUAGUGAAAGACGGUUUUGCUGUCACUUAUAGAUGGAUCCGCGCCGCAUUAGCUAGUUGGUAAGGUAACGGCUUACCAAGGCAACGAUGCGUAGCCGACCUGAGAGGGGGAUCGGCCACACGGGAACUGAGACACGGUCCAGCCUCCUACGGGAGGCAGCAGUAGGGAAUCUUCCGCAAUGGGCGAAAGCCUGACGGAGCAACGCCGCGUGAGUGAUGAAGGUCUUCGGAUCGUAAAACUCUGUUAUUAGGGAAGAACAAAUGUGUAAGUAACUAUGCACGUCUUGACGGUACCUAAUCAGAAAGCCACGGCUAACUACGUG
rnacentral:rRNA from 1 species